UCUAAAGAAAUUUUUUAGGGAUUGCCUAAAAGUGGAUAGAGUUGGAGAUAGUCAGACGGAUUGGGGUAGGGAAUUACGUAGGAUGAGAGAGUCUCAGGAAAAGUCCUGGAGGCGAGCAUGGGAGGAGGUGGCAAGGGAACUAGAGAGAGCAGAAGGUUGUGGGAAGAAUGAAGAGAAUGAUUUGGUUGGUAUUCUGAGACUAGGUUAGUGUUGUAGCUAGUGGCAGAGUUGUGGAUGACUUUGUAAGUUGUUAGUAUUUUGAAUUUAAUUCAUUGGGAGAGUGGCAGCCAAAAAUUAACACUGAAAGCAUCUGCAAUUUUACUUUUCUUUUUUUUUUUUUAACAAAUUAAUGACUCUUUAGGUUCAAUUCAAAACAAGUUGCAAAAAUUAACUGAUUGAAUUGCAAAAUGUGCAAAGAAUACAAUAAAAUCAUCCAACAUGGGUAAUCGAACAGGAAAUAAAAUAUUGGCCUUAACAAAACCAAAUCAUGGCAUUUAAUAGGUUAUAAAUCCUAAAUGGAAUUUGGUGCAGCCUGCAAUCCUGAAGUUGCUGAAAGGGAGCAGUGGGGCAUGAGGUAGGUAAUUUGGGUGUUGGUAAGGGUAGUUAUGAACAAAGGAUUGUGAUGCGUAAUGUGAAGAUUGUCGGUAAAAGGUACCAACAGUUCCACCAGAAUUACCUUGAUCCACCAGACAGGAGAGGAGUGAGGCUGGACUGGUGAAGCUUGGCCCAACAGGAAUCUGGCAACAGGAUAUUCGCUUGGCAGUUUACACUACCAAUUUCUGAAUGGAAAAUCUACAGCCUUCUCAAUUGUGUGAAACGCAUGUGCUACGCUACGGGAUGUGCUGUCUGACAUGGUGAUGAAGAAACAAACCAUCCAGGAUUGGGCAAACAAAGCUAAAUUUCUUUGGGGCAAUGCCAUGUUCCAAAAUGUGUUGGAGCAAUUGAUGGAACUUCCGGGAAUCACAGAACCUUAAAUGUCCAUUGUGUUUGUGGGCGAUGAAGCUUUCAAUUAGAUUGAAUUUCUUCUGCAUCCCCAUGCUAAACAUGGCUUGGGCACAGAAAGAAGUGUUUUUUAAUUACAUGAUGCUUGGUGGAGUGUAGCUUUGGAGUUUUAACAAAUAAAAGGCUCCUUUUGCAAUUGACCAUCUAUCCAUGCCUAAGAAGUAUGUGGUGUUGAGGCUGCGUACCAGCUACAUAACUUUGUUAGGCAGCGAGGCAGAUUCUGCUUCGAAGAUUAUCCUCCAUAGUACAUUGCAAGCUCAAUGGAAAGCUCAAAGAGGGAGCAGAAGUGUGGCCAGUAAUUGGGACAAACCUGCUCAAUACUUAAUUUCUGGCUCAUCCUCUACUUUUUUGAAACGCACAAUUACUAUUUUUUAAAGUAUAUUGCACUAUUCUGUAAAAUAAAAGAAUUUGAGUAUCUGA